UGGGGAAUAUUGGACAAUGGGCGCAAGCCUGAUCCAGCCAUGCCGCGUGUGUGAAGAAGGCCUUAUGGUUGUAAAGCACUUUAAGCGAGGAGGAGGCUACUUUAGUUAAUACCUAGAGAUAGUGGACGUUACUCGCAGAAUAAGCACCGGCUAACUCUGUGCCAGCAGCCGCGGUAAUACAGAGGGUGCAAGCGUUAAUCGGAAUUACUGGGCGUAAAGCGCGCGUAGGUGGUUCGUUAAGUUGAAUGUGAAAGCCCCGGGCUCAACCUGGGAACUGCAUCCAAAACUGGCGAGCUAGAGUAGGGCAGAGGGUGGUGGAAUUUCCUGUGUAGCGGUGAAAUGCGUAGAUAUAGGAAGGAACACCAGUGGCGAAGGCGACAACCUGGGCUCAUACUGACACUGAGGUGCGAAAGCGUGGGGAGCAAACAGG
rnacentral:rRNA from 1 species